UUGAAAUAGACAACAUUCAUUUUCCACAAUCGUUUCUAAAAAUUUCUCCAAAAUCCGUAUUUCCACUAUUGAGUCUUUGACACUACCAUCUAUCUGUGUGUAUAGUAUAGUAGUUGGUGUUCUGUAAAUAUUGUGUAUUUACACAUAUAUUCUAAUUCAACAAAAGCAAAGAAAAAGACCAUAUUUUCUCAAUAUAUAGUCAAAAACUAUCUUCCAAUUGUUAAAAGUCAUCCUAUAUAUUCAGAUGGUAUAUAAGCCGUCCAUGUUGAAAGUUGGAAAAUGAGCAAACUUUUGACUUUGCACCAAUUAAGUGCCAAAAGUUCCUACAUAUUUACACUCAAAUAAUAAAGUUUCAACUAUUUUAAGAACAGAUACAUAUAUACUUCCUGUACGUGCUUGUUUUCUGAUUAGGAUAAAAGGUUCAUUGAUUCACAGUGUUUGGACGUUGAAUUAUGAAACUCUAUUUCCCUUUAACUAUUUGUUUGGGAAAACCUUUCUUUUAAAAAUAUUUUGUUUGUCUUCAAACCACACCUUUAGGGAUACUUCACAAAAACUUUCUUGGGAACACUAACCAAAAUAGCCAAACAUCUCUCCAAAAAUAUUUUUCCUAAAUCUUUUUAGGAAACAGAUAUCCCAACACCUAUUCAAUUCUUUUUUUCCCCAAAAAAGUUGCACAAACGGGUGUCAGCAUUUUUAAAAAAAAGAAAAAGGAUAAAGGGUAAUUCACUCUAUAUACGCAACUAAAGUAGCUUUUAUUUAAAACACCAAAUGAAUACAAAUUAUUGUUGCAACAAAGUUAAACGGCGAAAUUAUUACUAUUUCUCUCUCCUUCCACGAUCUCUUUUACUUGUUCACAAGUCAAUAAAUAUACGACUUAUGUUUUCAAUAUUAUAAAAAAUUCUAAUUCUUUAAACAUAUUACAAAAAUCUCACAUGUACACAGAAUGCUAUGUAUAUGUUGGCUAUGUUAUGUAUAUUAAUAGGGAGAAAGAGUAAAGUAAUUAAAAAAGUGGAAGAGAGUGUAAUUACUUUUAAAAGGUUGAUAUUUAUAUUAUUUAUACAUAAUUUAAUCAUAUACUAAUUUUUAAUAUAUUUUUACUAUUAACUACAGUUAUUUCUAAAUAUUUUAAAAAUAUUUAAUUUAGUAUAUUUAAAGAAUAAAAUAAUAAAAUUGAAAUUAUCUUUAUUGUUUCUUAAGAGGCG
rnacentral:lncRNA from 1 species